UUGUUAAAUUAUUAAUAUAUUUAUUUUAUGAGAAUAUUCUUUUAAUUAGUAUUUUUUUUUUGAAAAUUGGUUUUUAUUUAUAGGUUAUUAGUAUAGGCAUAGAAUUAUUUAUUUUCCAUGAAAAAAGAAGAAUUAAUUUUUUGUACCUUUUGUAUCAGGGUUUAAAAAAUUAAGGUUAUGAAUUUAAUUGUUCCCGAAUUGGAAAGAUCUAAAUUGUUAUAAAUUUAAUUGUGAAAUAAUUUUUUAUAAUAGCUUUUUUGAAGUGAAAUGUUUUCGUUUUCUAAUAUAUCUGGUUUCUUAAGAGACAGAUUUAAUCUUAUUGCUAUUUUUUUUUUUUUUUGGUAAGUUUUUAUAAAUUGGUAUUUAAUUUUGGAGGGGUUUAGCUUUUCAAAUUUUCUAAAUUUUAUUAUUUUUGAAUUUUCUGUACGAUUAGCAAUUUCGUUCAUAUGUAUAAUUUUAUAAUUUAUAAUUCUUUCUUUUUGAUUUUUAUUAAUAAUUAGUUUAUUUAUUAAGGAGUUUUUUUUAAUUUUUUUUGUUUAAGCUAUAAUGUUGAAAUUAGUAAAUUAAUUUUUAUUUAAUUUUUUUUUUAUAAAUUAGUUUUAAGGAAUUCGGCAAUUUAAGCUUUUCGCCUGUUUAAUAAAAACAUGUCCUUUUGUUUAUAAUUUAAGGUCUAAUCUGCUCAAUGAAAAUUUAAAUAGCCGCAGUAUUUUAACUGUGCAAAGGUAGCAUAAUCAAUAGUUUUUUUAUUGGAAACUGGAAUGAAUGAUUGGACGAGAAAGUAACUGUCUCGAAAUUAAUAAUUGAAUUUAACUUUUGAGUUAAAAGGCUCAAAUUUGAAUAAAAGACGAGAAGACCCUAUAGAGUUUAAUUGGCAAUUAUUUUUGAUAUUUUGGAAUAAUAAGUGUUUAUUUUUAAUAGUUAAUUUGGUUGGGGUGACUUUAAGAUUUUAAAAACUCUUAAUUAAUUAAAUCAUUUAUUUUUGAUUAUUGAAUCUAAUUUUUUUAAGAUAAAAAUAAAUUACCUUAGGGAUAACAGCGUAAUCUUACUUUAAAGUUCUUAUUAAUGGUAGGGUUUGCGACCUCGAUGUUGGAUUAAAAUUAAUUGGCGGUGCAGCAGCUGCUGAAUUAAGUCUGUUCGACUUUUGAAAUUUUACAUGAUCUGAGUUUAAACCGGCGUGAGCCAGGUUGGUUUCUAUCUUUAUUAAAUUUUAAAUUAUUAGUACGAAAGGACCUUUGUUUAAAUAUAUUAUUUGUUUUUGAAUUCAACU
rnacentral:rRNA from 1 species